GGCUCCGCAAUGUGUAUUUGGAAGUGAAGUCCGCGAGACUUCACAUUCUAAUGUACAUAAACAUUGACGUUGCCAUAUCGGCUAUGUUUACAUGUUGGUAUGUUACUGCAUAGUGAGCUGAAGCGGUAAGAGUGUUCGUGGAUUUCCGGAUAUGCGAUGCACUAAGUAACAAUCCGACAACGCUGCAUUACCAAUAUUGCCAGUGAACAUCCAGUGAAGGAUAAUGGCGGCCGUUUGUUUACAAUAGUGAAGUAGGCGAAUUUGAGCGUAAUUUGUGGUGAAAGUGAGUUUAUAGUGACUAAAAAAUAUAUACUGAUUGUAACAGAACAAUGCCACGGCAGUGUUUCGUUUGUAAAAUAGUUAGUAACACGAGUUUGAAUUUAUCAUUCCACAGGAUACCAGUUGACCCAAGUAUUAGAAGAAUCUGGUUCUCGAGUGUUGGUUUACCUUUUAAUGCUGAGGAAACUGCUCCUAAACACGCGUUAAUUUGCGCAAAUCAUUUUCUAGAGACAGAUUUUGAGUAUCUGGGCGUCACUAAAAAGAAAGUAUUGAAAAAGGGAGCAAUUCCAAUUGAUACCACUGACAAAGAUUUAAGUAGUUCUGAUUCGACAAGCGUAGAAACGUCAGUAACAUCUCCUAAAUCACAUAAAAGAAGUUACGAUGAAGCUGGUCUUUCAACUCUCAAGUCAUCUAGCAGCAGCACCCUGACCGCAAGUGAAGCUGAGGACGAACUCCGUAAAGAAUCUAAUCUCCUUCAACAUAAGAAUUCAAGUGAAUCUUUGGGGGUACGGUCUCUUCCUUCCUCUGGAACAUUAACAGCUUCUGAGACUAAACGAUUAGUUAGUCAGGAGGUACAUAAAGACUCUGAUCUUUCUCAACAAAAGGAUUCAAGUGAAUCCUUGGGGGUACGGUCUCUUCCUUCCUCUUCAACUUUAACAGCUUCUGAGACUGAAAGAUUACUUACUAAGCAAGUACGUGUCGUUACGACAAGUGAAACCAAAAAAAGAAGAAGAUUUAGUGUGGGAUUUCUGAGUAGCUCAGAUUUUUCAACACCAAGAAAAGCAAAACGACAUUUUCGAAUAAUGAAAAGUAAAUUGCAAUGUCAAAAUAAAAAAGUUAAAGUGUUGCAACAGUCUGUGCGAAGAUUACGGUUACGAGUAAAUUCCUUAAAAUCGCUUGUAGAUGUUUUAAAGGAAAAACGCUUGAUUACUGAAAACGCUGAAUCUACUAUUAUGUCAUCGUUGCCUUCAACUGCUGCGGAUAUUUUUAGACGAAUGUUGAAAGGGCCUACAAAACAGAAAUAUACACCAGCGUUAAGAUCCUUUGCUCUUACGCUUAGCUUUUAUUCACCGAAAGCAUACAACUUUGUUCGACAGACUUUUAAUCGAUCUUUACCGCAUCUUAACACUAUCUCAAAGUGGUAUCAGUCAGUGGAUGGAUCCCCAGGGUGGACAAAAGAAGCGUUAAAUGCUUUAAAAAUAAAAACGAAAGAUGUCGAAUGUAAGAACAAUAAAAUAGUCUGUAACCUUGUGCUCGACGAAAUGUCGAUCAGAAAACAAAUAGAAUGGACUGGAAAAAAAUUUACGGGAUAUGUUGAUAUUGGUACAAAUAUUAGUGCUGAUACACUUCCAGAAGCAAAAGAAGUUCUGGUUUUUAUGCUUGUAAACGUAAAUGGGACAUGGAAAAUACCCAUUGGAUAUUUUCUUCUAAAUGGUUUAUGUGCCAGUGAAAAAGCUUCGCUUGUCAAGUCAUGUCUUCAGUUUGUACAUGAAAGUGGCGUUACUGUAUUAUCAGUUACGUUUGAUGGAGCCCCAGCGAAUUUUCAGAUGGUUCAAAUUUUGGGAGCAGAUUUUGCGGAAUUCAAUUCACUUAAAACGUCGUUUCAACAUCCUAUCACAGAUGAUUUAAUUUUCAUAUUUCCAGAUGCUUGUCAUAUGCUGAAGCUUGUAAGAAAUUGUUUGGCAACAUAUUCAUUAAUUACUGAUGGCGAUGGUGGUAAAAUUGAAUGGAAAUUUCUGGAAAAACUUGUUGAGUUACAGUGUGAAGAAGGUUUACAUGCCGGGACAAAAAUAAGAACUCGUCACAUUAAAUUCGCAAAAGAAAAAAUGAAAGUGAGACUUGCUGCCCAAACCUUGAGCAAGAGUGUGUCUGAUGCUUUAUUAUUUUUAAAAGAAAGCGGGAAAACUGAUUUUAUAGGUGCAGCUGCAACAGCGAAGUUUAUUAAAAUUUUUAAUGAUUUAUUUGAUAUGUUUAACUCAAAAAAUAGACUAGCUAAAUAUUUUUAUAAAAAGCCGCUUUCACCUGUUACCAAAAACGAGUUUUUUAGGUAUUUAAUUGAGAUUAAGGAAUAUAUAAAGCAGUUAAAAAUAAAUAACAGAGCAAUUUUAAAUUCUGGUCGGAAGACAGGUUUUUUAGGCUUUAUGAUUUGUAUAGAAAGUCUUAUCCAGUAUUAUGAACACUAUGUAGAAGAAAAAGGCUUUUUGAAAUAUAUUUCAACCUACAAGCUGUCACAAGACCACUUGGAAUUAUUUUUUGGGGCUAUCCGCAGUAAAGGAGGGUUUAACAAUAAUCCCACUGCUAGACAAUUUGAGGCCGCAUAUAAACGAUUAAUUGUCCAUCACGAAAUUAAAAGUGGCGACACGGGCAACGUCAUAAAUUUAGAUUCAACAACAAUUUUAAACUGCAGUAGUAGAGGUGUUACCACAAAUGCAAGUGGGGAAGAAAACAUUGUUUCAUUUGAAGAAGAGUUAAAAUAUAUGGACGAAUUUGAUUUCCAAUCCCAAUCUUCGUCUUGGGAUUUAACGGAUUAUGUUUUAGAUGUGGUGUCGUAUAUCUCCGGAUUUGUUGUAAAGUCUCUUAACAAAUCUGUAACUUGUAUGCAGUGUCUGCGGUUGUUGGAAGGUGAUAGGACAUUUUCUAAACUGCAGCAGCAGAAAGAGUACCGACAUCUUUACAGGGCGUCGCAAAUGGUAGUCAGCGUUUGCCAAAAUGCGGAAAAAUAUUUCCGAUAUUUUCACAAAACAACUGGGAUUUUUAACAAAAAUAUUGAAAAUUUACCUCAAAUCUUAAUUGUUAAUACUAUGCGUAAUCUACCGUCGUCGGUCAUGGAUGUCUUCGGAGAUCAUUUAUAUGAUGACGAUCCUUUGGAUAACCACUUCCAUAAAUUAGUAAAAUUAAUAUUAAAAGGUUAUUUUAAAUUACGUAUUCAUCACGAAGCUAGAAAAAGUGUUGAUAAAAUAGAUAGAAUAAGAACCAGUCUUAAUAAGACAAUUCUGUUUAAAAACCAGUAAACAAUGCUUGUUUUUUAUCUUAUUUUCAUUGAUUUUCUAUUAGAAGGUGCUUAAACCUGACUCAGUUAGUAGGGACAAUUUUUUACAGGGUAUUUUUUAACGGGCCACCGUGGAUAUCUCAUAAAUAAACAAAAAAAUAGAACAUCCCGAGACUGGUUAACUUUUAUUUACAGGAGGACACCUACCCUCUUAGUGUACUUUUAAUAUAUUUACCACCAACCACAAGUCCAAGUACAAUCUCAGCUCGGUUCAAGCGUUGGUGUUGUUUACUGGGUUACUAUGUCAUUUCUACAAAAGCAUACUCCUCCCAAUUGGGACUCAGUAGAAGUAGCUGAUUUUCCGGAGACUGCUGUUUGGAUCAGAUGGUGUCACGGCUGGUUUUAUUCUUUCAUUCCUUUAUCCUUACGUAACUGGUGUUUUGCCCUUACAUGUUUUUUAACGCUUAAUUUUAUUUCUCAUAUAACUUCAUAUAUUGAGUUUUUACCGCAUAAAAACUUAUGGUCCAUAUAUUCGCAUAUAAUAUAAUUAUUUAUAUUUUAUAUUUUGUGCAGUUCUUCUUGCGCAAGCGUAAAUGUUUUUAUCCACAAUCACAUUGUAACUGGAGUUUUAUCCACACUUAUGAAGCAUAGAAACUGACCUAUUAUCCACUAGUGGAAUAAAGUAACUUCAUUCCACUUUUGCCACUAGUAAUUAUGACUACCAGACAAAGCUGCAAAGUUUCAUUUUACGAAUACAAACAUUUUUAAUAUAACUUUGAUUAACUCAAAAUUAAUUAAUUUUGUUAAUGUGGUGAUUGUGGAUAAAACGUUGUAUUGCAUUGUGUUUUAGUCGCAUUUUAUCCACUUAAGAAUAUUAAACACUCGGGCUGACGCUCUCAAAUAUUCUUGCGUGGAUAAAAUGUUUUCUACAACACUUUUCUUUUUGCCUUUGCCUACUCUUGUUUUGAUAAAAAUAUACUUACGGAUAAGCAUCGACGUUUAACGAUGGAACAUUUAAAUCAAUUAGUUUUACUUUAUUGUAAUCGUGAAAAUUUAUUCUGUUGUUCCCUGUUCUAAAUUAUUAUUAUUCUAUAUUCUAAGUUAUUUAUUAUUUUAUUAACAUUAUUAGCGCAUAAAAAUCCCAUUCUCCUGUCACUUAAACUUCACUGGUUCUUAAGAUCAUGGAAAACCUAUUCUACGAUCAAAUGAUAAAUUUCCUAGAUCCUCAGCUUAUUAUUCCGAGUCAACUGCACGGAUUUGUGUCUUUUAAGUCAAUUGUUUCUAACUUACUAUCGAUUUUGGGAUUUUACAAUUUUUUGUUUAUUUGCUGGGAUACUCGUAAUUGCUCGUUUAAAAUAACACUCUGUAUGUAUGGAUUAUACAUGUCUUUUUUACAAGAAUAAAAUAAUUACAGUUUUAUGUUUGUUUUCUUUUAACUUCAUAAAAUUUUUCCCACUAAAAUACUCUAUGAAGUAUGAACCCCUUUUGGCAAUUAAAUAUGCUACGCCACUGCCUUUUGCACCUGCGAUGGAGGAAAACAUUGUCCCCUCUUGGUCCCGCAUUCCCCUCUCCCGGCGUUAAUCGGCUUCACAACACGCUACAGUGAAAGUGCUGCGAUGCUGUCUCCUCUUUAUCUUACCUCCAUGGCUACAACCAAUAUUUUAGAAAUUAAAUCACUUCUCCCGCCACGUUUUGAUCAAUGUUGUUGAGUAACAGGGUCAGCUAUAUUGUUAACAGAAGCGCGCCUAUAUGAGGAAAUUUAUGUCAAACUUUGUGCUAAUUUGUGAUUGACAUCUGUUGAAGUCAAGUAAUGGAUAUGUUGUGUAAUGUUUGAUGAUAACCUUAAUGCUCAUUGUGCGGCUCUGGUGGGAGAGCGUUGUGCCACCACAACUCUGGGCCACCCGGCCGAUGGGGAUAGAGCGGGCCCCAUAGGAUCUACCCCGGUCACCCCCAGGAUCACGAGUACGCCAACAAGGCAGCGAGAGCUUUUAGGGCAAGUGUGAAAGAUGGGAAAUAUGUGUUGAAGAUGAAGGCCGAUUGUCUGGA